CACUCUUUUGAGCUCCAUUCACACUCCACUCAACUAAAACGAGCUUCUUCUUCUCUCCUUCCACGAGCUUCUUCUUCUGCCGCCACCGCCGCUUGCGUCGUGUCUCCUCGUCGCAUGAGUUUUAGUCACAUCCAAUUCGAAUCAAUUCAACAAUGGCCGCCGUGGCUUCACCUUCCUCCAGAAACCAGACGCCGUCCUCCUCGUGCUCCUUUUCCUACCCCUUCGCUUCAUACACCUCCGGCAAUUUUGCUCCCGAGCCUCCCCCUCGUCCCCACGCGCUUCUCCUCCUCCUUUGGCCACCAUCGGCGUUUUUCUUCCACCUCUUCGCCACCGUGUCCAACAUCGUCAUCCGUGAGAUUCUCCUCGGAGCAACCACCAAGCUCCCCCGGACAACACUCCAGGCUAUAAAGAGGUUCAACUAGAGCCCACAUCUUCAUGGGCUUUACUACGCAAGGAUUUUGCUGCACCAUCAAAAUACACUGGUAUAUUUCAAGCAUCUAAAGAUAUUUUCAGAGAAGAAGGUUUUCAGGGUUUUUGGCGGGGGAAUGUACCGGCAUUGCUUAUGGUUAUGCGAUAUACAGCUAUACAGUUUAGAGUUUUACAUAAGUUGAAAACUCUUGCCUCUGGUUCUUCCAAGUCAGAGGAUCACAGUAGUUUGAGCCCUUAUCCGUCCUAUGUCAGUGGGGGCAUUAGCUGGAUGUGCAGCUACAAUAGGGUCUUACCCGUUUGAUCUUCUCCGAACCAUAUUAGCUUCUCGGGGGAGCCAAAGAUAUAGGAAACAAGCAAGGGAGCAGCUAGCUACUAUGUAUAUGAAGAAUGUUGAUGAGGGAGAAUUAGUUGCGGCAUACAAGUGAAAUGGGAGCUGUUUCUUCAAUGCUUCUGGUUCUUUUGAUAUUGUGCAGUUCUGGUUUUGGUGGCAUAGCGUUUGGUUUGUUGAAUUUCAGCAGCAACAGCAGAGCUGGUUCAUCUUCAUCACCUAACAAUGAGGUGGUGUCUUAUGGGAAUGGGAAAGGAGCAGAGUUAGAAGAGAAGAGGGGUGUGCCAUCGGGAGCUAAUCCUCUCUAUAAUCGCCGGUAGAAGCUAAUUAUUAUCUGAUCGAGACCACACAGACUUCAAAGAAGAAACUAAAGGAAUCUAUAUGUCUACUAUUCAUUUUAAUUAAUAGGAUGUUGUUAUUAUUUGAGAACGUGCCAAAAAAGUAUCCCCGUAUAUAAAACUUUGAUUGAUCUGACAUGUUUGUGCAUGAGUUGUCUCUUGGUUUGGUGACACCUCCUAAUGGAUGCCCUACAUUGCAUGCCUAUGCCUAUCAUCAUCAAUUAUUAUUUAUUUACUAAUUAAGCUAUAGCUAGCUAUUUCUUCCAUCUACAACAUUUCACUCAUUUUAGUUUAUUAGCUUUUGGAAUGCUUUAAAUGGUGCUAUUAACUUCUAGUUGGUUACAUAUUAUUUGAAUUAACAGCUACAGAGAUUCGUAACUGAUCCAUAAUUAGGGGUUAUAGUCUUGCAGAUUUUGAAAUGCUGUGAACAUGACAAUAUACACAUAUAGCUGAUAAACUUGGUGCAAAGAAAUGGCAAUUAGAGCAGCAUUUGCAGAAUUCUUCUCAAUGCUUAUUUUUGUUUUUGCGGCUAUUACAUAUAAUCUCUCAUCAAAUCAAAUCUAAGAGGAAAUCUGCUGAGAAGGAAAAACAUUUAUAGACACUUAUCCAAAUUGCUCAAGUGAAGCCAACUCUUCUUUAUUUCUUUCUUCUUCAUCAAAAUUAGCUGCUUCUUUUUUAUUAUUGCUGAUUAACUUUUCUCCUUGUCUCUAUUUUUUUGCAAAUCAUGUGUGGAUUAAGAUUCCUUACGGGGAACUUUUCAUUCCUGCAGGGGACACAGAGUUUGCUAAAGAUGCUGCCUUUGGCUACAAAUCUUCGAAUCUGCGUGAUGUAAAAGCCUCUUUGUUCAUUUUUAUUACUGGAUUGUGCUGACUUUUUUUUUAUAUUGGCAUAGAAUAAAUUUUUUAAAAGAUAUUUAUCCAAUUAGUGGGUAGAAGAAAAGACUGGUGGUCGAAUACCUGCAUCCACUGUUGCUUCUGUUUCCAUUGAACUUUUGAGGAAAGGAGUACCAGAUGCAGUUUGCCAGCAUCUAUGCAGUCUGAAAAAGGGUUCAACAUGUGUAGUUAAUGCAGCUAGUGAAAGAGAUAUGGCUGUAUUUUUGCACUUGGAAUGAUCAAGAGGGAUGAAAAGGGAAACUCAACUGUUGAGGCGCAUCUCUCAAACUGGCAGAAAGAAAAAACCAUCUUAAUGGAUAGAUCUGUCGCCUUCGGAAGUUAUCGCUUCUCCAACACUUUCAGAAUCCAUAGAAGUUUACUAAUCUGUGAUAGUGGUUACUGCACUCCCAAUUCGGCCAUAGGCGAGUGCAGUUGGAGGAGAAGAGCGAGAAAGACCGCCAAAUCUGCUCCUCGUUUUACAUGUUUGUUGUAAGCCAAUUUCUUUACGGAGACUUAGCAAAUACAAAUUUGAGCUGCAGGAUUGAAUUCGCCCUUGGUGGCUUUUGUAUUUGAUUCUAACUGACAUUACUAACAAGAAAAAUUAUACCUUAUCAUCGUGUUCUUUUUGUUUGUUGAAACUUGAUCAGGAUCUAUUUGUAAACUUUUUCAUUGUGUAGCAUCAGCGUAAACUCCUAUUGUAAUGCCUUGUGUUGAAUAAUAAUAAA